GUAUGAUGGCCACGCGAGGGGUUUACUGUCUUUUAUUUCCAAUCCGAGAAAUUGACCUUCCCGUGAAGAGGCGGGAAUAUAACAAUAAGACGAGAAGACCCUAUGGAGCUUUAAUUAACCGACCCAAAGAGACCCUACUAAUUAACCGACAGGAACAACAAAUCUCUACAUGGGCGGACAAUUUAGGUUGGGGUGACUUCGGAGAAUAAAGCAACCUCCGAGUGAUUUAAAUCUAGACUAACCAGUGGAAAGUAUUACAUCACUUAUGGAUCCAAAAACUUGAUCAACGGACCAAGUUACCCCCGGGAUAACAGCCCAAUCCUAUUCUAGAGUCCAUAUCGACAAUAGGGUUUACGACCUCGAUG
rnacentral:rRNA from 1 species